AAAGUACUACCUCCGUCCGGAAAUACUUGUCAUUAAAAUGGAUAAAAGGGGAUGCAUCUAGAUGUUCUAGAUGCAUCCCCUUUUAUCCAUUUUAAUGACAAGUAUUUUCGGACGGAGGAAGUAUACG
rfam:Triticum aestivum genome assembly, contig: Triticum_aestivum_CS42_TGACv1_scaffold_404222_5BL